GACGAACGCUGGCGGCGUGCCUAACACAUGCAAGUCAACGAGAAAGGGGUAGCAAUAUCCCGAGUAAAGUGGCGCACGGGUGAGUAACGCGUAGGCAAUUUGCCUUCAGGACGGGGAUAAUUCACCGAAAGGUGGACUAAUACCCGAUGAUGCAUCGGAGUCGCAUGGUUCUGAUGUUAAAGGCCCGCAAGGGCGCCUGUGGAUGAGCCUGCGUCCCAUUAGGUAGUUGGCGGGGUAACAGCCCACCAAGCCUACGAUGGGUAGCUGGUCUGAGAGGAUGAUCAGCCACACUGGAACUGAGACACGGUCCAGACUCCUACGGGAGGCAG
rnacentral:rRNA from 1 species